GAUAAACCCGUAUUGGGUCAGUCCAAGGGGAGGCAUGUGUGGGAGACACGGUGGGCAGGGAUACGGCUUGAUAGGCGGGUACUUAGGCCGAGAUCAGUGUCACGCCUGCAAAGGGUAUGGUCAUUGGCAAAGGGACUGUCCAUAUCGCAACUAUCCGGAGGUACCAGGCAGUGUUCCACCAUCUCAUGGAAUUUAUCACUGGGGCCGAUCUCAUCUGACACCGUCGAGCUUGUGGGGCUCUCAGGGAGACCGGAGAGACUGACAGACCAGGAUGGACAAGAUUUUAACUGCACCACACAUAACAUACACACAUGAAGGGAUAAAUAUGGCAGGGUUUAACACAGCAUCAGGCUCACCUAUAAAACAUGAAGUAGAGAUGAGGCAACUGACACAGGCACUCAUGGAGCCAGCGGAGGUCGCAGUUGUAAAGUGCAAAGGUCACAGCAAGGAGAACUCUUUAGAGGGAAAAGUUUUCUCCCAACAGGCAACCUCUGUUACAGAGUCAGUAAGGAUCCAGGAAUUCCACACACAGCUGAGUGGGUUCUUCUGAGAGUCAUCAAGCAAAGUGGUCAGAGCACAGGUGGACGGGCCACUUUGAAGUUGCAGAGCGAACAUCACUUGUUAACCCUAACCCUAACAUACUAACACCCUAACACCUUAACCCUAACAUUGGUAUUACUGGAAUCAAUGUACCCCAGCAGGUAAUUCACAGAGAACGCUUGGACGGAUCGAGGAACAUCUAAAGAAGAUGGUGUAGUAUCUGACCCGUUCUAUGCAGGCUUUACGUCUGCAAGGCCGUAAUGUGUUUAACUGCCAACCUAAGCACAAUAUCAGGACAUCCUCCACAUGUGUGUCCGGUGUCUUCUUCCUUUAGGUAAUAGGAGCUGCUAAAAGACAACACUGGAGCCUGUGGGCCCCUGGUACCUCUCACUAGGAGGAUGUAUAUCAUGAAGCAUCUUCAAGUGUUACCUUUUUUGGUCAUAACUGAACACCAGACCAUUGGGUUGACCAUACGGUAUAGUGUGAGGUCAUCAGAAAAGAAUGUGUUUACGCGGCUCUAUAAGAAGGCGGUAUCGAGGUAGACUCCCCGGAGUUCUUCACCAUCGGGACCUCGAGACCUCCCUCGGACAAACUGCAGUGUUCGAUUGAUGCCUGACUGUUCUCUCCAAUAAACAUCUUUGAUAACCAAGUCGGUGUCUGCAAAGUUUCCUUCCUCAUCAACACAUCUCGGCAACCACCAGGAGAAGAUUUACAACAAAAUUGGCGUCACGGACAGGAUCGGUUGUGGCUGUUGUCUUCUCCAUCUGCCCCCUCGGACCAACUUCCGCUCCAAGCUGGCAAGUAAAGUGCACACUUUCCACACAUUGGGGUGAUAGUUGGUUCAAUUAAGCUUUUGGGGAGUAAUUUA
rnacentral:lncRNA from 1 species